GACAGAGGUGCCAAGCGUUUAGGCGGAAUCACUGGGCUUAAAGCGUGUGUAGGCGGACUUGUAAGUACCUUGUGAAAUCCCACGGCUCACCCGUGGAACUGCUGGGUAUACUGCGAGUCUUGAGCCACUUAGGGGCUGUCGGAACAGGCGGUGGAGCGGUGAAAUGCGUAGAUAUCGCCUGGAACGCCAAAGGUGAAAACAGACAGCUGGGAGUGUGCUGACGCUGGAGACACGAAAGCCAGGGGAGCGAACGGG
rnacentral:rRNA from 1 species